rnacentral:rRNA from 1 species
AACGAACGCUGGCGGCAGGCUUAACACAUGCAAGUCGAACGCAUCCUUCGGGGUGAGUGGCAGACGGGUGAGUAACGCGUGGGAACGUGCCCUUCAGUUCGGGAUAACCCAGGGAAACUUGGGCUAAUACCGGAUACGUGCGAGAGCAGAAAGAUUUAUCGCUGAAGGAUCGGCCCGCGUCUGAUUAGCUAGUUGGUGGGGUAAUGGCCCACCAAGGCGACGAUCAGUAGCUGGUCUGAGAGGAUGAUCAGCCGCAUUGGGACUGCGACACGGCGCCAACUCCUACGGGAGGCAGCAGUGGGGAAUAUUGGACAAUGGGCGCAAGCCUGAUCCAGCCAUGCCGCGUGAGUGAUGAAGGCCUUAGGGUUGUAAAGCUCUUUCGUCCGGGACGAUAAUGACGGUACCGGAAGAAGAAGCCCCGGCUAACUUCGUGCCAGCAGCCGCCGUAA